AAAUCAUGUGAAUGGCAUCUGCCUUUAAAUGCCGAUCAACUGUUGCGAGAACCAUUGAAGCCAACGGCGACCCUUUCCUGCAGGGUAGUGUCUUACCUUAGCUAACGUCUUUGGCAGUGUCGUUCUCCCGCCUUCCCCUCGAAACAAAAGCAAACACUUCUGCCUUGUGGAACUUAACGACUGCUAACGCAUGCCAUCGAAACUAUCUUACGGGGUCGGCUAAGCUAAUAACCCGAGGUGGGUCUCAGCUUGGAAGUCUCAUUUUCUGGAAGUCUCACGAGUUGUCUUCAAAACUGCACCACACUGCUGUCCCCUCCCAUUGAAGAUAAUUACUCCUUCACUGAGUAUCACUGCGAGGGACAGAGUGAGAGGUCGAUUCAUUACGCAACAAUCAGGCUCGCCACACUCACUGGAAGUGAAAGAUAUCCCCUGGAAGAAUGUUAAUGGGGGGGGGGAGGCACUGGGGGGCAAUUCUUUGCCAAGUCACCCGCACGGAAGCAUGCAGCGGGGACAAGCAAAAAAAAAAAAAGUCAGACAAUAAAGAGGAGCUCACAAAGGAGAUGAAAACGCUGAAGAAAAGGAUAAGGAGGGUUGCAACCUGAUGUGACAGGAAUGCAGGAAAUGUUUGGGGGAGUUGCAUUUAUCUAAAAAUACGAAAGGAAAAGGGGAAUGGGAAAAGCUUUAAAAAGUCUUGUGAGAAUGACUCAAGAGAAGACCAUA